ensembl:snRNA U6 U6 spliceosomal RNA
GUACUCACUUCGGCAGCACAUGUACUAAAAUUGGAACGAUACAGGGAAGAUUAGCAUGACCCCUGCGCAAGGAUGACACGCAAAUUCGUGAAGCAUUCCAUAUUUUU